GCAGCUCUAAGACACUGGAGAUCUGCCUCAGGUGAGCCUGCUCUCUACGCAGCAACUGAUCCGUUUCAGGGCCAAGCUUCUCAGGAUCACCUUCAUCUUCUUUAAACUGGCUUUCAUGGUACCAACAUGGGAAUUUCAAGGCUCUCAUGCUUACAUCCUUGGGCCCAGGGAGAAAAUAGCAUCUGUCCUGGUCCUUGUAAGUGAAAGUACUGAGUCCGUUCUAAUGGGACUAACCUGGAGAACGUGCCUGAACUGAUCCUCAUGCUUGGAGAAGACUCAGACCUGAUUCUUGCUCAGUCUUUCUGAAGUUGCUUCAUUUACCAGGUCCCUUGCUAUCUCUUCCCGUGGAUAAACUUGCCAACUCCUCACAUCAGCUAAUGAGAGUGUGCUGUUGUUGUUACUGUUAUAUUCCGUGUAUGGGCCAAGGUCACUCACUUUCUCUAAGCCUCAGUUUCCUUAGCUGCCAAAGAACAGUGAUUCAAUCAGCUCUACAACUUCCCUUCAUUUUAGUAACAAUCAGUGAUUGUGUUUCCUGGGCAUAUACUAACUGCGUGACCUUGUGCAGGUCACUUGACCUCAGUGCCAUGUUCUCCUCAUCCUUGAAAUGGGCACAGCGUUGCCUUCCCUGAAAUAUUGUCUUAAUGAUGGGACAGUAAGUAUGAAAUAUCCUUAGCAGGAUGCCUGGUACAUGCAGAAGCCAAUGUACAUCGCCACAGCGGUUAAUUACAAUUCCAAAUAUAUAUAAAAACACACAGCCAGAAUAAGAGUAUUACCAUCCCUGGACCCAUUGAGCUCUGGUCUACCCAAUACCCCCAAACUCAAUCCAACCUGUGUGGCAAUUACUUUGGAGACAACAGUCAGCUAAGAAGCCAGUUGAUUAAGCCUAGUCUCAAUGCAUGAGUCACGAGUAGCCUUCUACCCUCUCUAGACGCUAUCAAUCCCCUCAGCCCACUCUGGUCUCCUCAUUUCUGGAGGAGAAGCAGAGACUUCGAGUUACAGAAAAGAGCCCUAGGGGGCAAAGGCUGGGGGUGGGCUGAUUCCCUAAUCUCAGAGCUGCUGCCUGAAAGCGACUUUAUGCAUCAUCUCAUCCCACCUCCUCCAUUGUACAGAGGAGGAAGCAGAGUCCCAGAGAGGGAAGUGACUCACUCCAAAUCACACAGCUAAUAUGUGGUGGAAUCUAGACUCAGACUUCGCUAAAAAUAUCAACUGCAGGAAAAUGUCAACUGAGGACAGAGCCAGAAGUGCCAGCGUCCAUUCAGCUGCCUGUCUCUCCUGCCAACAUUGAAGAUGUGAGGAGGUCUCCAUGGCCACAACUAUGCCCUCACAGCAUCAGACCCUUGAAUGUGAUGCUGCAGGUAGGACUCCUGUCACCAGAAGGUGCCUUCAGGUGUGAGGAGAACAGGCAUCCAAGGCUGCCCACUGUGAGUUCACCCCAGAGCCAAUGAGGCAGAGAUGCCCAACAGUCCACAGGGAGGGAGAAGGCUGCCAGUCCCUGCCUGGUGACAGGAACACAUGUGAAGGACACAUUCGUUGAGAGGAAAGGCUGGUCCCAGAGGAACAUGGGAAGGAGGCCACAGAGCUGCAUGGUAUUGCCUGGCAGGUACCACCCAGAUCGAGUGUUCUGACCUCCAGACCCCGGCAGCCCUGGAUCCUGAUUUGGAGGCACACCUGGGCACCCUGUGCUCAACCUCUGCCCACUGGAACCGAGCAUGCAAGUAACAAUGAAAGUAGCUGCUGGGCUGGGCACGGUGACUCACGCUUGUAAUCCCAACACUUUGGGAGGCCGAGACAGGCGGAUCACCUGAAGUCAAGAGCUUGAGACCAUCCUGGUCAACAUGGUGAAACCCCGUCUCUACUAAAAAUACAAAAAUUAGCUGAGCAUGGUGGCACACGUCUGUAGUCCCAGCUACUCAGGAGGCUGAGGCAGGACAAUCGCUUGAACCCAGGAGGUGGACAUUGCAGUGAGCCAAGACAGUGCCACUGCACUCCAGCCUGGUGACAGAGUGCGACUCCGUCUCAAAAAAAAAAAAAAAAAAA
ensembl:lncRNA